rnacentral:tRNA from 1 species
AGAUUAAUAGUUUAAAAAAAAUAUUUAAUUUGCAUUUAAAUGAUAUUAUAAAUUAAUUUAAUUUU